CCUACGGGAGGCAGCAGUGGGGAAUAUUGGGCAAUGGGCGCAAGCCUGACCCAGCAACGCCGCGUGAAGGAAGAAGGCUUUCGGGUUGUAAACUUCUUUUAAGAGGGAAGAGCAGAAGACGGUACCUCUAGAAUAAGCCACGGCUAACUACGUGCCAGCAGCCGCGGUAAUACGUAGGUGGCAAGCGUUGUCCGGAUUUACUGGGUGUAAAGGGCGUGCAGCCGGGUCUGCAAGUCAGAUGUGAAAUCCAUGGGCUCAACCCAUGAACUGCAUUUGAAACUGUAGAUCUUGAGUGUCGGAGGGGCAAUCGGAAUUCCUAGUGUAGCGGUGAAAUGCGUAGAUAUUAGGAGGAACACCAGUGGCGAAGGCGGAUUGCUGGACGAUAACUGACGGUGAGGCGCGAAAGUGUGGGGAGCAAACAGGAUUAGAUACCCCAGUA
rnacentral:rRNA from 1 species